GAUUGCUUGCAUUUUUUCUUUGGCUCAAUCAGCUUUUAUCUUUGAUCAAUUUGUCAUCCACCCUUAAGAAACAUUGGAGCUAGCAAGUUAUCAUUCGAUUCGACCAAGUUCGUUCUUUGAUUCCAGUAUUAUCAAUUCGAUUGCCUUUGUUGAGUCAGUGCUCCCAGUGUGUUGAAUUAUUAUAUCCAUGAGAAUCAUAGGCUGAUGAUCAAUGUUCUUCAGCUCAAAUACAUGUCUUAACACUUUAUCGAAAACUUUUUACCGGAAACAUUUCACCGGUAACGAUAAAGUAAAGUUGAGAUGUUUAUGGCAAGGAAAAUAUGUGGCCGAUAAGGAGGAGACAAAGGCACGCAGGAAUAGAAUCAUAAAGGAAUGAGAUGAAAAUGUGAAUGGAAUGAAGAUGAGAAAGGAGUCCAUAAUGGUUCUAGUGCUUGAUGGGAGGAAUCCACUUAUGGGUUGGACAUCCACUGGAGACCCAUAUGCCAAUGUUGGGGAUUCUGCACGCUUUGACAGUCAAGAAGCUGCAGUAUCAUUUGCUGAGAGAUAUGGUUGGGAAUACACUGUAUGGUCUCCUUGGUCUGAGAUCCCGACAGAACAAAUUUUCCAAGUUUAAAAUUUGUCAGCUGGAAUCUCUUUUUGCAAGGGUUAUAUAUUAGACCAUAAAACGUUCUUUAUUUGUCAGCUGGAAUCUUGAAAUUCCAUGAGAAUGGACUAUGCUAUAAAAGUUGAGUUAUUCGUAGUGUCAUUAAAUAAAAUAGAAGCGAAUUAGCAUAGGUUUGUUUUUGUUCUCUUAAAGAAUCUGGUUUGGCAUUUUUUUGGUCGUCCUGUAUUUAAUGGAACUGGCCAUCUUGACACAGCCAUUAAAUUAUUAACUAAACAGAUUUUGAUAUCAGUAUUUUGUCUAUUUUGAGAUUGGUUCAACAUGGCACUGUGUCAAGACUCGAGUGAAUUCUGGUGCUAUUGAAUCGUCUGGCAUGUAUUAGUCACUUAAUCUAAAAUUUGGCGCUGUGUCAAGACUCAAGAGUGAAUUCUAGUGCCGUUGAAUCGUUUGGCAUGUAUUAGUCAUUUAUCUACAAUUUUGGCACCGUGUCAAGACUCCACCACAGUGCUGGUCUAAUAUCUUCGACUAUGAAAGUUUCUUAUGUUUUCAUACUGCUUCUUAUUCACAGGUCAAGAAGCACCACACCCCAUUAUUGAAGGUGAAGGCAUAUGCAGACAACUUCAAAUGGAAGGGCCCUCCUAAGUCUGAGGCGAGCUAAUUUUUCAAGUGUAAUAAUUUGCUUGGGGAUUUUAGCUCAGGAAGGCACAAGGAUGAGUAUUCUGUGUUAUCCUUGAGUGAAUAAAUCACACAACAUUUGGGUGCCUUCAUGCUUGAUUUGUUCGUGCAGAGAGUUUCGAUACACUUUGCACUUUGUUGUAAGACAAGAUACUUGUGUAUUACAGAAUUAUAUCCAACUUUUAGAGAGAAAAGACUUGUUUGUUUUAA